GUACUACCGAAGAGUCCCAAACUAGGCGGACGAAACAGUUGUCCAGUAC
rfam:Trichobilharzia regenti genome assembly, scaffold: TRE_scaffold0074617